GACGAACGCUGGCGGCGUGCUUAACACAUGCAAGUCGAACGGAAAGGCCCUGCUUUUGUGGGGUGCUCGAGUGGCGAACGGGUGAGUAACACGUGAGUAACCUGCUCUUGACUUUGGGAUAACUUCAGGAAACUGGGGCUAAUACCGGAUAGGAGCCCCUGCUGCAUGGUGGGGGUUGGAAAGUUUCGGCGGUUGGGGAUGGACUCGCGGCUUAUCAGCUUGUUGGUGGGGUAGUGGCUUACCAAGGCUUUGACGGGUAGCCGGCCUGAGAGGGUGACCGGCCACAUUGGGACUGAGAUACGGCCCAGACUCCUACGGGAGGCAGCAGUGGGGAAUAUUGCACAAUGGGCGGAAGCCUGAUGCAGCAACGCCGCGUGCGGGAUGACGGCCUUCGGGUUGUAAACCGCUUUCGCCUGUGACGAAGCGUGAGUGACGGUAAUGGGUAAAGAAGCACCGGCUAACUACGUG
rnacentral:rRNA from 1 species